rnacentral:rRNA from 1 species
UACGAAGGGGGCUAGCGUUGUUCGGAAUUACUGGGCGUAAAGCGCACGUAGGCGGCUUUGUAAGUUAGAGGUGAAAGCCCGGGGCUCAACCCCGGAAUUGCCUUUAAGACUGCAUCGCUUGAAAUCCGGGAGAGGUGAGUGGAAUUCCGAGUGUAGAGGUGAAAUUCGUAGAUAUUCGGAAGAACACCAGUGGCGAAGGCGGCCAACUGGACCAUUACUGACGCUGGAGGCGCGGAAAGCGUGGGGAGCAAACAGG